AAGCAACGCGAAGAACCUUACCAGGCCUUGACAUGCAGAGAACUUUCCAGAGAUGGAUUGGUGCCUUCGGGAACUCUGACACAGGUGCUGCAUGGCUGUCGUCAGCUCGCGUCGUGAGAUGUUGGGUUAAGUCCCGUAACGAGCGCAACCCUUGUCCUUAGUUACCAGCACGUUAUGGUGGGCACUCUAAGGAGACUGCCGGUGACAAACCGGAGGAAGGUGGGGAUGACGUCAAGUCAUCAUGGCCCUUACGGCCUGGGCUACACACGUGCUACAAUGGUCGGUACAAAGGGUUGCCAAGCCGCGAGGUGGAGCUAAUCCCAUAAAACCGAUCGUAGUCCGGAUCGCAGUCUGCAACUCGACUGCGUGAAGUCGGAAUCGCUAGUAAUCGUGAAUCAGAAUGUCACGGUGAAUACGUUCCCGGGCCUU
rnacentral:rRNA from 1 species